UGACUAUAAGAAAUAAACAGAUGUGUCG
rnacentral:sRNA from 1 species